GAUGAACGCUGGCGGCGUGCCUAAUACAUGCAAGUCGAGCGAACAGACGAGGAGCUUGCUCCUCUGACGUUAGCGGCGGACGGGUGAGUAACACGUGGAUAACCUACCUAUAAGACUGGGAUAACUUCGGGAAACCGGAGCUAAUACCGGAUAAUAUAUUGAACCGCAUGGUUCAAUAGUGAAAGACGGUUUUGCUGUCACUUAUAGAUGGAUCCGCGCCGCAUUAGCUAGUUGGUAAGGUACCGGCUUACCAAGGCAACGAUGCUUAGCCGACCUGAGAGGGUGAUCGGCCACACUGGAACUGAGACACGGUCCAGACUCCUACGGUAGGCAGCAGUAGGGAAUCUUCCGCAAUGGGCGAAAGCCGGACAGAGCAACGCCGCGUGAGUGAUGAAGGUCUUCGGAUCGUAAAACUCUGUUAUUAGGGAAGAACAAAUGUGUAAGUAACUAUGCACGUCUUGACGGUACCUAAUCAGAAAGCCACGGCUAACUACGUG
rnacentral:rRNA from 1 species